UGGGGAAUAUUGCACAAUGGGCGCAAGCCUGAUGCAGCCAUGCCGCGUGUAUGAAGAAGGCCUUCGGGUUGUAAAGUACUUUCAGCGGGGAGGAAGGCGGUGAGGUUAAUAACCUCACCGAUUGACGUUACCCGCAGAAGAAGCACCGGCUAACUCCGUGCCAGCAGCCGCGGUAAUACGGAGGGUGCAAGCGUUAAUCGGAAUUACUGGGCGUAAAGCGCACGCAGGCGGUCUGUUAAGUCAGAUGUGAAAUCCCCGGGCUUAACCUGGGAACUGCAUUUGAAACUGGCAGGCUUGAGUCUUGUAGAGGGGGGUAGAAUUCCAGGUGUAGCGGUGAAAUGCGUAGAGAUCUGGAGGAAUACCGGUGGCGAAGGCGGCCCCCUGGACAAAGACUGACGCU
rnacentral:rRNA from 1 species